rnacentral:tRNA from 1 species
GAAUAUGAAGCGAUAAAUUGCAAUUAGUUUCGACCUAACCUUAGAUGACACUCAUCCUUAUUCU